rnacentral:rRNA from 1 species
CAGUCGCCGCGGGAAUACGGAGGGUGCAAGCGUUAAUCGGAAUUACUGGGCGUAAAGCGUGCGUAGGCGGUUCGUUAAGUCUGUUGUGAAAGCCCCGGGCUCAACCUGGGAAUGGCAAUGGAUACUGGCGAACUAGAGUGUGUCAAAGGAUGGUGGAAUUCCCGGUGUAGCGGUGAAAUGCGUAGAGAUCGGGAGGAACAUCAGUGGCGAAGGCGGCCAUCUGGGACAACACUGACGCUGAGGCACGAAAGCGUGGGGAGCAAACAGGAUUAGAUACCCGGGUAGUCCCUGUCUCUUAUAC